GGGGUUAUAGCUCAGUGGUAGAGUGCUUGCCUCAUAUGCAUGAGGCCCUGGGUUCCAUUCUCAGUACCACA
rnacentral:tRNA from 1 species